rnacentral:lncRNA from 1 species
CAUCCAUCUACCAGCAUCCUAUGGUCAUUUCCCGUCUGAAGACAUUUUUCUCUUAACAGACUGUGCCCUGCCCAUGUCCCAAGUCAUCUAACCAAGACUGGUGGGAACACCACCCUUUCCAGGGGCUUGGUCUAUAAAUGGAAUUAGUAUUUCUGCCUUAAGCUUGAAUCUGGUAUGUAUCUGGAAAACCUCUGCAUUCCUGCAUGUCUAGUGAACCUCGGCUUUAGCCCCAAAAUGCAAAGUUCCAUCAAGGCCCCUGAUUUUUCAUCCCAUUUUGGUCUGAGACUGAAAUCC